GUUGUCAGCUCGUGCCAUAAGGUGUUGGGUUAAGUCCCGCAGCGAGCACAACCCUCGUGUUUAGUUGGCAAUGUUGAGUUUGGAACUCUGAACAAACUGCCGGUGAUAAGCUGGAGGAAUGUGAGGAUGAUGAUA
rfam:Lupinus angustifolius cultivar Tanjil chromosome LG16, whole genome shotgun sequence.